rnacentral:rRNA from 4 species
GGUUUCCGUAGGUGAACCUGCGGAAGGAUCAUAG